UGAAUUUAUUGAGAGGUUUUCUCAGGAGUG
rnacentral:piRNA from 1 species